GCCGGCGUGUCGGAACUGGUAGACGAGGCAGACUCAAAAUCUGUUGAUGGCAACAUCGUGCGGGUUCGAUUCCCGCCGCCGGCA
rnacentral:tRNA from 2 species